rnacentral:rRNA from 1 species
CUACGUAGGUGGCGAGCGUUGUCCGGAAUUACUGGGCGUAAAGGGCGUGUAGGCGGCCUUUUAAGUCAGAUGUGAAAUCUCAGGGCUUAACCCUGAAACUGCAUUUGAAACUGGAGGGCUUGAGGAUCGGAGAGGGCAGUGGAAUUCCCAGUGUAGCGGUGAUAUGCGUAGAUAUUGGGAAGAACACCAGUGGCGAAGGCGACUGCCUGGACGACACCUGACGCUGAGGCGCGAAAGCUAGGGUAGCGAACGGGAUUAGAUACCCCGGUAGUCCUAGCCGUAAACGAUGGGUACUAGGUGUGGGAGGUAUCGACCCCUUCCGUGCCGCAGUUAACACAAUAAGUACCCCGCCUGGGGAGUACGGCCGCAAGGUUGAA